UAACGGCGAGUGAACCGGGAUGAGCUCAAAUUUGAAAUCUGGCGUCUUUCAGGCGUCCGAGUUGUAAUCUAUAGAGGCGUUUUCCGCGCCGGACCGCGCUCCAAGUCUCUUGGAAUAGAGUAUCAAAGAGGGUGACAAUCCCGUACUUGACGCGACAACCGGUGCUCUGUGAUACGUUCUCAACGAGUCGAGUUGUUUGGGAAUGCAGCUCUAAAUGGGUGGUAAAUUCCAUCUAAGGCUAAAUAUUGGCGAGAGACCGAUAGCGAACAAGUACCGUGAGGGAAAGAUGAAAAGCACUUUGGAAAGAGAGUUAAACAGCACGUGAAAUUGUUAAAAGGGAAACGAUUGAAGUCAGUCGUGUGAAAGGUAUUCAGCCGUCUCUGGCGGUGUAUUUGCCUUUCACGGGUCAACAUCAGUUUAGUCCGGUAGAAAAAGGCUGGAGGAAGGUGGCACCUCGGGUGUGUUAUAGCCUCCUGUCACAUGUGCCGGAUUAGACUGAGGAACGCAGCUUGCAGCAAUGCCGGGGGUUCGCCCACGUACAAGCUAGGAUGUUGACAUAAUGGCUUUAAA
rnacentral:rRNA from 1 species